rnacentral:rRNA from 1 species
GCCCGCCAUAGGAGGUAAAAGCCCUGUAAUUGAAACUUCGUUCCCUCCAGAGUGGAUCCUGAGUACGGCGGGACACGAGAAAUCCCGUCGGAAGCAGGGAGGACCAUCUCCCAAGGCUAAAUACUCCCUAGUGACCGAUAGUGAACCAGUACCGUGAGGGAAAGGUGAAAAGCACCCCGGAAGGGGAGUGAAAGAGAUCCUGAAACCGUGUGCCUACAAGUAGUUAGAGCCCGUUAAUGGGUGAUAGCGUGCCUUUUGUAGAAUGAACCGGCGAGUUACGAUUACAUGCAAGGUUAAGUUGGACAGACGGAGCCGCAGCGAAAGCGAGUCUGAAUAGGGCGAAUGAGUAUGUGGUCGUAGACCCGAAACCAGGUGAUCUACCCAUGUCCAGGGUGAAGUCCAGGUAACACUGGAUGGAGGCCCGAACCCACGCACGUUGAAAAGUGCGGGGAUGAGGUGUGGGUAGCGGAGAAAUUCCAAUCGAACCUGGAGAUAGCUGGUUCUCUCCGAAAUAGCUUUAGGGCUAGCCUCAUGCGUGAGAAUCUUGGAGGU